rnacentral:rRNA from 1 species
CUGGCGGCAGGCCUUAUACAUGCAAGUCGAGCGCAUCCUUCGGGAUGAGCGGCGGACGGGUGAGUAACGCGUGGGAAUGUGCCCUUCUCUACGGAAUAGCCACUGGAAACGGUGAGUAAUACCGUAUACGCCCUUAGGGGGAAAGAUUUAUCGGAGAAGGAUCAGCCCGCGUUAGAUUAGGUAGUUGGUGGGGUAACGGCCUACCAAGCCUACGAUCUAUAGCUGGUUUUAGAGGAUGAUCAGCCACACUGGGACUGAGACACGGCCCAGACUCCUACGGGAGGCAGCAGUAGGGAAUCUUGGACAAUGGGGGAAACCCUGAUCCAGCCAUGCCGCGUGAGUGAAGAAGGCCUUAGGGUCGUAAAGCUCUUUCGCCUGUGAUGAUAAUGACAGUAGCAGGUAAAGAAACCCCGGCUAACUCCGUGCCAGCAGCCGCGGUAAUACGGAGGGGGUUAGCGUUGUUCGGAAUUACUGGGCGUAAAGCGCGCGUAGGCGGAUUGGAAAGUUGGGGGUGAAAUCCCGGGGCUCAACCCCGGAACUGCCUCCAAAACUGCCAGUCUAGAGUUCGAGAGAGGUGAGUGGAACUCCAAGUGUAGAGGUGAAAUUCGUAGAUAUUUGGAGGAACACCAGUGGCGAAGGCGGCUCACUGGCUCGAUACUGACGCUGAGGUGCGAAAGUGUGGGGAGCAAACAGGAUUAGAUACCCUGGUAGUCCACACCGUAAACGAUGAAUGCCAGUCGUCGGGUAGUAUACUAUUCGGUGACACACCUAACGGAUUAAGCAUUCCGCCUGGGGAG